GCAUGUCCAUUAUAUUAAAUAUUAGCUCAGUUGGGGAGCGUGGUGCUUAUAACACCAAGGUCACAGGUUUGAUCCCUGUAUGGGUGCA